UACAGAGACUGCAAGCGUUAUUCGGAUUCACUGGGCGUAAAGGGUGCGCAGGCGGCCAAGUGUGUGAGGCGUGAAAGCCCGGGGCUUAACCCCGGAAUUGCACCUCAAACUACUUGGCUAGAGCGUUGGAGAGGGUAGCAGAAUUCACGGUGUAGCAGUGAAAUGCGUAGAUAUCGUGAGGAAUACCAGAGGCGAAGGCGGCUACCUGGACAAUUGCUGACGCUCAGGCACGAAAGCGUGGGGAGCAAAAGGG
rnacentral:rRNA from 1 species